GCAGAUCCAAUUUUCUGCCACCGAAUACAUUAGCAUGGGAUAAUGGAAUAGGACCCUGUCCUCCUAUUUUCAGUUGGUUUUGGCAGCGCGAGGACUAGGGUAAUGAUUAAUAGGGAUAGUUGGGGGCAUUAAUAUUUAAUUGUCAGAGGUGAAAUUCUUGGAUUUAUGAAAGAUUAACUUCUGCGAAAGCAUCUGCCAAGGAUGUUUUCAUUAAUCAAGAACGAAAGUUAGGGGAUCGAAGACGAUCAGAUACCGUCGUAGUCUUAACCAUAAACGAUGCCGACCAGCGAUUAGGAGACGUUGAAUACAAAACACCACCAUCGGCGCGGUCGUCCUUGGCGUCUCGGUCCUUCACGGGGCCGGGGCGCGGGGGCGGCUUAGCCCGGUGGCACCGGUGAAUGACUCCUUAUAA
rnacentral:rRNA from 1 species